rnacentral:rRNA from 1 species
CAGCCUGCCGCGUGCAGGANGANUGCCCUAUGGGUUGUAAACUGCUUUUAUAGCGGGAAGAANCCUUGUUACGUGUACUACGAUGACGGUANNGCANGAAUAAGCACCGGCUAACUCCGUGCCAGCAGCCGCGGGUAAUA